rnacentral:antisense_RNA from 1 species
UUCAAUGGCGGGUCGGACGAGGGCAUCGAAAGAUGCGCUGGUAUCGGUGAGAGCCAGUAAGGUCAACCUCGUUCGAUCCGCCACCCGU